GUUGGUAUUAAAUAAAUGCUUAGUGUUGAGUCGGCUGUCUCACCAGCUGAGAAAUAACCUUGUCUGUCUCUUUGACAUCUUCCCUUAAAGCUACUUGGAUGCAUAGUAUAAGAAAUAGCCUGAGUUCCUGGGGAUGUUUACACUAUCAGAAUGCUAGGGAACAGGGUUGACAAGAGUGACAGCGUUGAGUGAAAAGAAAGUUUAUUUAUAUGUUUGUGUGUGUGUAUAUACACACACACUAUACAUACUAAACUCGUAUAUACACAUAUGAAACACGUCUCGACUGGGAGCAAGGGAACUGCAAGAUAACAGGUUAAAAUGCUCUCAGAAACGUAAACAGAACUUGAAAUAUUAUUUUAUUUUUCCUACUGGAUAACUGAACAGUAAGCAUGAGGGCAAAGGAAAUGCAAGGAGGGAAGAGAAAGGAUUCCAAGGUAGAAGGAGAAAAAGGCAGAGAGACACAAGAGAUAUAACAUGGUUAUAAUGAGAUGGGAGAGGGGAGGGAAAGAUGGAAAAAGGGGAGAGAGAGAGAGAGAGAGAGAGAGAGAGAGAGAGAGAGAGAGAGAGGAGGGAUGGGGUGGGCGAAUUGGAGAGAGUUGGACGGAGUAUUCCACAUCUUUAAGGGAAAUUCUCUAGAUGGGAAGAGACGCACAAAUUUUGCAUGACAAGUAGAGACUGGCUCUCCUGGGAGUUCCCUGUUUGGAGAGCGGGCAAGCAAGAGAUCUCCCUGCUGCCUGGGAGAGGCUGCAGCUUUGGGCCCUAAAGCCCUGCCCCCUCAGUUCCUUCUUCCCUCCCCCUCCCGUCUACUCUGUACACAGUGCAUUUCCCUCUCUUUUUCUCAUUCUCUAGACUGGUUUUUCUGGUUCAGCCUCUCACCCUGGGACGCGCUGGGGGAUCCGAUGACGUCGCUGGCCGAGCUUUCCUCUCUCUCUCUCUCUCUCUCUCUCUCGGCCGCGCUCCCUUUCUCCCUCUCUUACUUCUCCUUGUAACUUCUGUUCUGGGAAGUGGUGCCAGGAAUAACCCUGUCUGACUACAGAUCAGAAAGGCUGCUGCUUCCUCAUCCAGAAAACUGCGGCUCUGGCCUCUCUUCUCCCUCUCAAGCCCAGCUUCACCUUAUGUCUGUCGCACUGUGUACAGUAUAAGAAAAUAAAUAAAGGAAAGAGGAGCCUUGACUGUCGGGAUCUCUUCCCUCCCUCCCUCUGUCCUUAAGGAAAUGCUACCAGACACCCCCCAACCCGCACAAGCUUAGCAAGGAGCAACCUCAGCAGCAGAAACAACAAGGGCACCAGGGGGUUUUUCCUCCUCCUCUUCCUCCUCCUCCUUCUCUUCCUCCUCCACGGUGACUUUCAGGUUGGAGAUUCUGCCUGACUCACCAGAGUGAAGGAUGAGGAGAAUUUGUGACUGGCUAGGAGGCUGCUACCUGCAGAAAACAGAUCUCCAGGUGGAGACUUUGGAAUUUUAAAGAAGACAGUCAAUAAUCAUACUCACCUGAAUGAUGAAACAAAUUGCCAUGGCUGGAACCAAUGAUUACUAAAUCUUUACUAUCAGCAGUCAGUGGAACCAUCACAUUUGAACUCUAACAUCUCAGUCCCUGAUGUACUAUAUGAGGAAAUGGAAAUGGCACCAAAAAGAUGAAGAUGGAGAAAAACAGCUGGACCCGACCAAGUACACACAGAGGAAUUCCUUGAUGGAGGCAACACAGUUUUAAAGGCAUUAAGGGACUUAUUUCCAAGCAACAAGACAAUCAUGUAUAUUACAACUCUAAAAUAUGCAGGUCAUUGCAUCUUAGUGAGAAUAGCAACUGAAACUUCACUCUAGCUGAUCCACAAGAAUUCUGCUGAACUAAAUUUUCAUCCCAAUAUUUCAUCAUAGCAGAAAAUACUCCAGCUCCCUAAGAACACUGCAGAUUCAUACAGCUUUGUGAUGGAAUUACUUUUAAUGAACAGGACUGUCUUAUUGUGUGAUCCCAGAGACAUUGCCAUCUAAUGCCUAUAGAUUACUGUGUAGAAGGCUCCAAGGAGAAAGAGACACCAGUAAAUUUUCAGAGUCCCUGGAAAAAUGGAAGCAACAAAGAUUUAAAAAGCAC
ensembl:lncRNA